rnacentral:rRNA from 1 species
AGUGACAGGUGGUGCAUGGUUGUCGUCAGCUCGUGUCGUGAGAUGUUGGGUUAAGUCCCGCAACGAGCGCAACCCUUAUUGUUAGUUGCCAUCAUUUAGUUGGGCACUCUAGCGAGACUGCCGGUGACAAACCGGAGGAAGGUGGGGAUGACGUCAAAUCAUCAUGCCCCUUAUGACCUGGGCUACACACGUGCUACAAUGGGAAGUACAACGAGUUGCGAAGUCGCGAGGCUAAGCUAAUCUCUUAAAGCUUCUCUCAGUUCGGAUUGUAGGCUGCAACUCGCCUACAUGAAGCCGGAAUCGCUAGUAAUCGCGGAUCAGCACGCCGCGGUGAAUACGUUCCCGGGCCUUGUACACACCGCCCGUCACACCACGAGAGUUUGUAACACCCGAAGUCGGUGAGGUAACCUUUUUGGAGCCAGCCGCCUAAGGUGGGAUAGAUGAUUGGGGUGAAGUCGUAACAAGGUAGCCGUAUCGGAAGGUGCGGCUGGAUCACCUCCUUUCUAAGGAA